rnacentral:rRNA from 1 species
AAAACUUUAACAACGGAUCUCUUGGUUCUGGCAUCGAUGAAGAACGCAGCGAAAUGCGAUAAGUAAUGUGAAUUGCAGAAUUCAGUGAAUCAUCGAAUCUUUGAACGCACAUUGCGCCCCUUGGUAUUCCGGGGGGCAUGCCUGUUCGAGCGUCAUUA